rnacentral:rRNA from 1 species
UCGGGAAUUUUGGGCAAUGGGCGAAAGCCUGACCCAGCAACGCCGCGUGAAGGAUGAAGUUUUUCGGAAUGUAAACUUCGUAAGAAUGGGAAGAAUAAAUGACGGUACCAUUUGUAAGGUCCGGCUAACUACGUGCCAGCAGCCGCGGUAAUACGUAGGGACCAAGCGUUGUUCGGAUUUACUGGGCGUAAAGGGCGCGUAGGCGGCAAUUCAAGUCAGCUGUGAAAUCUCCGGGCUUAACUCGGAACGGUCAGCUGAUACUGCUUUGCUAGAGUGCAGAAGGGGCAAUCGGAAUUCUUGGUGUAGCGGUGAAAUGCGUAGAUAUCAAGAGGAACACCUGAGGUGAAGACGGGUUGCUGGGCUGACACUGACGCUGAGGCGCGAAAGCUAGGGUAGCAAACGGGAUUAGAUACCCCGGUAGUCCUAGCCCUAAACGAUGAAUACUUGGUGUCUGGAGUUUUUAUCCUCCGGGUGCCGUCGCUAACGUUUUAAGUAUUCCGCCUGGGGAGUACGCACGCAGGUGUGA